rnacentral:rRNA from 1 species
AUUGAACGCUGGCGGCAUGCCUUACACAUGCAAGUCGAACGGCAGCACGGGUGCUUGCACCUGGUGGCGAGUGGCGAACGGGUGAGUAAUACAUCGGAACGUACCUUAUCGUGGGGGAUAACGCAGCGAAAGUUGCGCUAAUACCGCAUACGCCCUGAGGGGGAAAGCGGGGGACCGUAAGGCCUCGCGCGAUUAGAGCGGCCGAUGUCUGAUUAGCUUGUUGAUGGGGUAAAAGCCCACCAAGGCGACGAUCAGUAGCUGGUCUGAGAGGACGAUAAGCCACACGGGGACUGGGAAACGGCCCAGACUCCUACGGGAGGCAGCAGUGGGGAAUUUUGGACAAUGGGGGCAACCCUGAUCCAGCAAUGCCGCGUGAGUGAAGAAGGCCUUCGGGUUGUAAAGCUCUUUUGUCAGGGAAGAAACACCGGCUCUAACACAGUCCGGGAAUGACGGUACCUGAAGAAUAAGCACCGGCUAACUACGUGCCAGCCGCCGCCGUAA